rnacentral:rRNA from 1 species
UACGUAGGUGGCAAGCGUUGUCCGGAUUUAUUGGGCGUAAAGAGCUCGUAGGCGGUCUGUCGCGUCCGUUGUGAAAACUCGAGGCUCAACCUCGGGCUUGCAGUGGAUACGGGCAGACUAGAGUGCGGUAGGGGAGACUGGAAUUCCUGGUGUAGCGGUGGAAUGCGCAGAUAUCAGGAGGAACACCGAUGGCGAAGGCAGGUCACUGGGCCGCAACUGACGCUGAGGAGCGAAAGCAUGGGGAGCGAACAGG